rnacentral:rRNA from 1 species
UACGAAUGGGGCAAGCGUUGUUCGGAAUCACUGGGCUUAAAGCGUGCGCAGGCGGUUUUGCAAGUCAGAAGUGAAAGCCCAGGGCUUAACCCUGGAAUUGCUUUUGAAACUGCAAAACUAGAAUAUGGGAGAGGUUAGCAGAAUUCCGGGUGUAGAGGUGAAAUUCGCAGAUAUUCGGAGGAAUACCAGUGGCGAAGGCGGCUAACUGGCCCAUUAUUGACGCUCAGGCACGAAAGCGUGGGGAGCAAACAGG